UACGUAGGGGCUAGCGUUGUCCGGAAUCAUUGGGCGUAAAGAGCGUGUAGGCGGCUUGGUAAGUCCGCUGUGAAAGUCCAGGGCUCAACCCUGGAAUGCCAGUGGAUAACUGUCAAGCUAGAGUCCGGAAGAGGCGAGUGGAAUUCCUGGAUGUAGCGGUGAAUGCGUAGAUAUCGGGAGGAACACCUGUGGCGAAAGCGGCUCACUGGACCUAACUGACGCUGAUGCGACGAAAGCUGGGGGAGCAAACAGG
rnacentral:rRNA from 1 species